GUUAAGAUCCCAAACGCCUAACACAAUGGUUGUUUUUAACCUUAGGCAUUUAUACAUGUAUGCACAUAAAUCAAAAUUAAUUACAAUACCUGGAAUCCUAGGAGAAUUGACAGGUACCAUGGCGGUGUAUCGUCAACUUUGUACAACAUGUUGUCCCCUUCGGAAGAGGCCUUAGUCUCCUCAACUUGGAUUUCAAUCUCGGGAUCGCUAGAGCUUUUGGAACCUGCCAUCUUUGUUUGCCACUCGGAUGAACUUUUCGUGUGGUGUUUACAAACGCUUGGCGCGUUAUAAAGGAAGUAGGUCAUGUGAUGGGUAUGUAGGAAGCACUACCUAGGUCUCGCCACGAUAUGAGCUAACUAGCAAGGGUUGGGUGCAGAAGAUGUGUGCCGGUGUAGAAAUUGAUUAUCAUAAGAAGGUACACCAUGUACAUGUAUAUAUAUAGCAUGUUUGGUUUUUCUGAGGAUUUUUGGUACUUUUUAAAAAUUUAGUGAGAUUGGAUGUUAAAAAAUAUGUUUAAAUUCCGUUAUGCUUUUUCUCUUGUAUAAUUACGUAGAGAUUUGCCAAUGUAAAAUUUGUGGAAGAUUGUUCAAAUGCUAUAUGUAUUUGAAAAUAUCUACUUUCCGGAUUUUGUUUGAAUGUAUCUUAUUUUUUAAAAAAAUGUUCUAAAAUACCA
rnacentral:sRNA from 1 species